GACGAACGCUGGCGGCGUGCUUAACACGAUGCAAGUCGAGCGGUAAGGCCCUUUCGGGGGUACACGAGCGGCGAACGGGUGAGUAACACGUGGGUGACCUGCCCUCAGCUCUGGGAUAAGCCUGGGAAACCGGGUCUAAUACCGGAUAUGACUCCAUGACGCAUGUUGUGGGGUGGAAAGCCUUGUGCGGCUGAGGAUGGGCCCGCGGCCUAUCAGCUUGUUGGUGGGGUGAUGGCCUACCAAGGCGACGACGGGUAGCCGGCCUGAGAGGGCGACCGGCCACACUGGGACUGAGACACGGCCCAGACUCCUACGGGAGGCAGCAGUGGGGAAUCUUGCGCAAUGGGCGAAAGCCUGACGCAGCGACGCCGCGUGAGGGAUGACGGCCU
rnacentral:rRNA from 1 species